rnacentral:rRNA from 1 species
UACGGGGGGAGCAAGCGUUGUUCGGAUUUACUGGGCGUAAAGGGCGCGUAGGCGGUCGUGACAAGUCACUUGUGAAAUCUCCGGGCUUAACUCGGAACGGUCAAGUGAUACUGUCGGACUAGAGUACAGAAGGGGCAACUGGAAUUCUCGGUGUAGCGGUGAAAUGCGUAGAUAUCGAGAGGAACACCUGCGGCGAAGGCAGCUCGCUGGGACGUUACUGACGCUGAGACGCGAAAGCGUGGGGAGCAAACAGG